CAGUUCGUGAUGGCGUUCCUGUAGAGCUCCCGCAAGGUGAUGGGGAACUCCACCGCCAUCCUCCGUCCUCAAGUUCCCCGUCCGCCCACCGGAUUUGGUUGUUGUUGCCCCGCGUGUGGAUCCGCUGACGGGAGAAGCCGACGCUGUGCGCUAGUCAAUUUGGACUGAAAAAAAAAGAAGCAAUGGAAGAUAGAAAACAGGGGGUCCAGUGAAAACAAAUCAGUUUUGUCCUUACCCUUUUAGUCCUUCCGCGCCGUCCAGAUAGGUGAUAUAGAAUAAAAAUAAACUACGGGGAUAAUUCUGAAAAUAACCACAUCGUCUUCAACCUCAGAAACCCCUAACCCCCCGUGAUUAGAGAGAGAAAUCGGGAUCAAAUUCAGGUCGUGAUUCUUUGCACCGGCCGAAACUUUUCUUGGGGGAGGGGCGGAUCUUUAGACAAUUAGCUUGAUUCCCCUCUCCCCUUGCUACAAUCUUGGCGAUCCCAUCACGUGUCAUCGCCCAGCCCCCUUUCCCAUCACACACAGAGCCAAAAAANNN
rnacentral:lncRNA from 1 species